UAUUGGACAAUGGGGGCAACCCUGAUCCAGCAAUGCCGCGUGAGUGAUGAAGGCCUUAGGGUUGUAAAGCUCUUUUACCCGAGAUGAUAAUGACAGUAUCGGGAGAAUAAGCUCCGGCUAACUCCGUGCCAGCAGCCGCGGUAAUACGGAGGGAGCUAGCGUUGUUCGGAAUUACUGGGCGUAAAGCGCACGUAGGCGGCGAUUUAAGUCAGAGGUGAAAGCCCGGGGCUCAACCCCGGAACUGCCUUUGAGACUGGAUUGCUUGAAUCCUGGAGAGGUGAGUGGAAUUCCGAGUGUAGAGGUGAAAUUCGUAGAUAUUCGGAAGAACACCAGUGGCGAAGGCAGCUCACUGGACAGGUAUUGACGCUGAGGUGCGAAAGCGUGGGGAGCAAACAGG
rnacentral:rRNA from 1 species